UACGUAGGGCGCAAGCGUUGUCCGGAAUUAUUGGGCGUAAAGAGCUCGUAGGUGGCUUGUCGCGUCUGCCGUGAAAGCCCAUGGCUUAACUGUGGGUCUGCGGUGGAUACGGGCAGGCUGGAGGCUGGUAGGGGCAAGCGGAAUUCCUGGUGUAGCGGUGAAAUGCGCAGAUAUCAGGAGGAACACCGGUGGCGAAGGCGGCUUGCCGGGCCAGUUCUGACGCUGAGGAGCGAAAGCGUGGGGAGCGAACAGG
rnacentral:rRNA from 1 species